AGUCCCUUUGACUUCAACUCAGGAUCCAGGUUUUUAUCCACAGUUCCCAGACGCUCAUCACCAUGUCACGCUUCUGAAUAAAACAUCAGGGAAUUUAGUAAACACACCAGGGACUCCUCCAGAUGUCCUAGCACUGGGCAGGGAAGCAGAGUCUUCACCAGCUCUGGGCUCUUCCAAGGCAGAGUGGCAGGAUUAAGUGCCAGGUAUUCUGAUGGCAUUAUAUACAAAAUAUUCAAAAGGAAACUGUGACCUGUUAAAGUGCUGAAGGCACAAUCAAAAGAAGCUCAGGUGAAGAAUGAAAGUUGAGUUGGGAGAAAUGCCAGUUUUCCCUCACAGUCGCCCCCCUUGGGCCUUUCAGCUGAGCACUUCUGCAGAUAUGCUUGUUGCCGAUCACUCGAAUGCCACCUCUAAA